CGGACCUGACUGCUAUCGGAUUGAUACUAAGCCAUGCGAGUCAUUGUAGCAAUACAAGGCAUACGGCUCAGUAACGCGUAGUCAACCUAACCUAUGGACGGGAAUAACCUCGGGAAACUGAGAAUAAUGCCCGAUAGAACAUUAUGCCUGGAAUGGUUUAUGUUCCAAAUGAUUUAUCGCCGUAGGAUGGGACUGCGGCCUAUCAGUUUGUUGGUGAGGUAAUGGCCCACCAAGACUAUUACAGGUACGGGCUCUGAGAGGAGUAGCCCGGAGAUGGGUACUGAGACACGGACCCAGGCCCUAUGGGGCGCAGCAGGCGAGAAAACUUUGCAAUGUGCGAAAGCACGACAAGGUUAAUCCGAGUGGUUUCUGCUAAAGGAACCUUUUGUCAGUCCUAGAAACACUGAUGAAUAAGGGGUGGGCAAGUUCUGGUGUCAGCCGCCGCGGUAAAACCAGCACCUCAAGUGGUCAGGAUGAUUAUUGGGCCUAAAGCAUCCGUAGCCGGCUCUGUAAGUUUUCGGUUAAAUCUGUACGCUCAACGUACAGGCUGCCGGGAAUACUGCAAAGCUAGGGAGUGGGAGAGGUAGACGGUACUCGGUAGGAAGGGGUAAAAUCCUUUGAUCUAUUGAUGACCACCUGUGGCGAAGGCGGUCUACCAGAACACGUCCGACGGUGAGGGAUGAAAGCUGGGGGAGCAAACCGGAUUAGAUACCCGGGUAGUCCCAGCUGUAAACCAUGCAAACUCAGUGAUGCAUUGGCUUGUGACCAAUGCAGUGCUGCAGGGAAGCCGUUAAGUUUGCCCCCUGGGAAGUACGUACGCAAGUAUGAAACUUAAAGGAAUUGGCGGGG
rnacentral:rRNA from 1 species